UACGAAGGGUGCUAGCGUUGUUCGGAAUUAUUGGGCGUAAAGCGUACGUAGGCGGCUUUGUAAGUCGAUUGUGAAAGCCCCAAGCUUAACUUGGGAAUUGCAACCGAAACUGCUUUGCUUGAGUUUGGUGGGGGAUGGCGGAAUUCCUAGUGUAGGGGUGAAAUCCGUAGAUAUUAGGAGGAAUAUCGGUGGCGAAGGCGGCCAUCUAUGCCAAUACUGACGCUAAGGUACGAAAGCGUGGGGAGCAAACAGG
rnacentral:rRNA from 1 species